rnacentral:rRNA from 1 species
UUGAACGCUGGCGGCAGGCCUAACACAUGCAAGUCGCGCGGAUGAAGGGAGCUUGCUCCUGGAUUCAGCGGCGGACGGGUGAGUAAUGCCUAGGAAUCUGCCUGGUAGUGGGGGAUAACGUCCGGAAACGGGCGCUAAUACCGCAUACGUCCUGAGGGAGAAAGUGGGGGAUCUUCGGACCUCACGCUAUCAGAUGAGCCUAGGUCGGAUUAGCUAGUUGGUGGGGUGAAGGCCUACCAAGGCGACGAUCCGUAACUGGUCUGAGAGGAUGAUCAGUCACACUGGAACUGAGACACGGUCCAGACUCCUACGGGAGGCAGCAGUGGGGAAUAUUGGACAAUGGGCGAAAGCCUGAUCCAGCCAUGCCGCGUGUGUGAAGAAGGUCUUCGGAUUGUAAAGCACUUUAAGUUGGGAGGAAGGGCAGUAAGUUAAUACCUUGCUGUUUUGACGUUACCAACAGAAUAAGCACCGGCUAACUUCGUG